UGCAUGAAUGUGAGGAUGAGCUAUUUUAAGCUUUACUGUGCAUGCCAUUUGUGUGUGUGUGUGUCAUUUUUCACUGACAAUAAGCUUCUAACCAUGUAAUUAGCAAAUGGCUGGUACUACUAACCUUAAAAGAAAGCUAGCACUUUCUCAACUAUCAAAUAAGACAUAAAGUUCCGGAAGAACGAGCUGCAGGUGCUCCAUUCAUCGGAACCACAGAGAGGCCUAACUACACAGCUCAUCUUAAGAACCCUUCUCAGCCUAAGUGCUCACCCUACCAUCCUGGUGGGCAGCCAGAGCUGAUAUAAAACACCUCUGGACACGGAAAGCUCAACUCAAACAACCGGCUGGCCGUUUAGUAGGUACUAAUUUCCUUCCAAAUGAAUUCUAAUCCCAUUUGAUUUCACCAUGUAAAAGGCUGCUGAGAUGGCUCCC